AUUGAACGCUGGCGGCAGGCCUAACACAUGCAAGUCGAACGGUAACAGGAAGCAGCUUGCUGCUUCGCUGACGAGUGGCGGACGGGUGAGUAAUGUCUGGGAAACUGCCUGAUGGAGGGGGAUAACUACUGGAAACGGUAGCUAAUACCGCAUAACGUCGCAAGACCAAAGAGGGGGACCUUAGGGCCUCUUGCCAUCGGAUGUUCCCAGAUGGGAUUAGCUAGUAGGUGGGGUAACGGCUCACCUAGGCGACGAUCCCUAGCUGGACUGAGAGGAUGACCAGCCACACUGGAACUGAGACACGGUCCAGACUCCUACGGGAGGCAGCAGUGGGGAAUAUUGCACAAUGGGCGCAAGCCUGAUGCAGCCAUGCCGCGUGUAUGAAGAAGGCCUUCGGGUUGUAAAGUACUUUCAGCGGGGAGGAAGGGAGUAAAGUUAAUACCUUUGCUCAUUGACGUUACCCGCAGAAGAAGCACCGGCUAACUCCGUG
rnacentral:rRNA from 1 species